UUCAAUGGGCGGCGAUGGUGGGGAGACUUCGGUCUGCCGGGUUCCGUAUGCCCCGGUCUGCUAACCCUGUCAUCGUCGCUCACCCGU
rnacentral:antisense_RNA from 1 species